rnacentral:rRNA from 1 species
UACGAAGGGGGCUAGCGUUGCUCGGAAUCACUGGGCGUAAAGGGUGCGUAGGCGGGUUAUUAAGUCAGAGGUGAAAUCCUGGAGCUCAACUCCAGAACUGCCUUUGAUACUGAUAGUCUUGAGUAUGGGAGAGGUGAGUGGAACUGCGAGUGUAGAGGUGAAAUUCGUAGAUAUUCGCAAGAACACCAGUGGCGAAGGCGGCUCACUGGACCAUAACUGACGCUGAUGCACGAAAGCUAGGGGAGCAAACAGG